rnacentral:lncRNA from 1 species
AUCUCACGCAUAGUAGGUACUCAUUCUCAUCUGUUGUCUAUAGCCUCUGAGCAAUUCUUCCCACGUGUGCAAGUUUCACAGAUUUUCAAGUACUUUUACAUUCAUUUUCUUAUUUUAUCCACUUGUCUCCCUAUUGGCUCCUUAUUUGCUUCUGACAUGGCUGCUGCAUGAAAAACCCCUACAAGCCCCUGCCGCCUAGGGAAGUAUUUAGAAGCUAAUUAUGUUUCAGGUAAAGUAUUGAAUACUGAAGACAAAGUGAUGAAAGACAUCCCUGCCCUUAAGGAGCUUAUAUUCUAGUGGAGAUUGGAGAAGGAGACACAUAAUAUACAAGGUGAAUGGAUGAGGAAGCACUGGGAAUUUUGUAACCUGUAGUGGUUGUCAUCGUCCCCUGAAAAGAGCACCGCUAUGAAAAUAGAAGAGAGAUGAGGAAAUGAGUCCUACUUUUCAGAAACCAAAUUACGCUGCAUGAGAACUGAUAUUCCUAAGGAGCCAGGUGGGCCAGAGGCUCUGCUCUGUGUCUCCUCCCAAAUUCACUACGGUCUUGCGUUCCUGACAAGGUUUGGAAAGACCUGAAACAAUAAAAGACCUUAUUUUAAAUUUGUAGCUGAUUCCUUGGUUUCUA